rnacentral:misc_RNA from 1 species
AUAAACACUAACAUGAAAAAACAAGCCUUUGCUCCUGGACCAAGGUUUCAAAAAGAAGUGAAAAAUAUACAUAUAGAGAAAAACAUUGCUGACUUUAUAAGGGAUCUUUCUCCGUUGGCGUGUCAGAAUCGCGUUUACAGUUAAGUUACUGGAUUGUCUGACCUCCAUGAAGUUCUCAGGUAGAAUUAAUCCUUCAAGAUUCAUACAUUCCUGUUGAUAGCUGCAAAAGAGAGUCUUCGCACAGAUUAAUCUAGUGUUAUGAUUCAACUGGAUCGACUCGUUGAAGAAGUUCCAAAACACUUCCGGCUUUUCUUUUAGCUCUAUCUGUACCAUUCUCCGAUAGUUCCUUCAGUACCUCUUCUGCUCCAAGCUCCCUAACGAUCUUUAAGCUCUGAACAUCACCUGUACAUAGAGACCACAAAAUAGCUGCAGCAUUCUCUCGGUUACGAGGAGAACCUGUCCUAAUUACCUGAACUAAGACGGGAAGUGGCUCAGACUGAGCAAUAGCUGCCUUACCCUCCUGAUGACUUGCUAGUAUUGCCAAUAUCGCAAGUGCUUCAUCCAUCAUUCCACCCCCGGGAUCCUUGAGUAAUCUUACUAGUGGUGGAACAAUUCCUGCCCGUACUGCCCUGACUUUGUUUCCUUGAUAGAUUGAGAGGUUGAAUAUAGCAGUGGCAGCGUCCUUUUUUCCCCUUGGGGUUCCAUGACAGAGCAAAUCGAUCAGCGCUGGGAUAGCACCAGCUGCUCCUAUUGCCACUUUGUUUUCAUCAACUACUGAUAAACUGAAAAGGGUAGCGGCUGCAUUUUCCCUUGCUUCCAUGCUUCCAUUUCUUAGUACAUCUACUAUAUCAGGUAUAGCACCAGCAUUUACGAUAGUUCCCUUGUUACUUUCAUUUAUGGAUAGGUUAAGAAGUGCGGUGACAGCAUGCUCCUGAGUACGAGAAUCUGAUGAUGAUAGUAGUUCAACAAGUAGAGGAAUUGCCCCGGCUCCAGCAAUGCAGACUCUGUUAUCAGCAUUUCUUUUUGCUAGCAAACGGAGCUCACCGGCAGCUGCUCUUUGCUGCUCCGAAUUACCAUUAGCAAGUUUUUGUAAUAACGCAUCAAUAGCAACACGAUCACAGUCCGAACCACCAG